rnacentral:rRNA from 1 species
UACGUAGGGGGCAAGCGUUGUCCGGAAUCAUUGGGCGUAAAGAGCGUGUAGGCGGUCCGGUAAGUCGGCUGUGAAAGUCCAGGGCUCAACCCCUGGGAUGCCGGUCGAUACUGCCGGACUAGAGUUCGGAAGAGGCGAGUGGAAUUCCCGGUGUAGCGGUGAAAUGCGCAGAUAUCGGGAGGAACACCUAUGGCGAAGGCAGCUCGCUGGGACGUUACUGACGCUGAGACGCGAAAGCGUGGGGAGCAAACAGG